AUUGAACGCUGGCGGCAUGCCUUACACAUGCAAGUCGAACGGUGAACAGGGGCUUGCCCCUGGGAUCAGUGGCGAACGGGUGAGUAACACGUGGGCAACCUGCCCCUCACUCUGGGAUAACUCCGGGAAACCGGGGCUAAUACCGGAUACGACCAGGCGCGACAUCGGGUCUGGUGGAAAGAACUUCGGUGUGGGAUGGGCCCGCGGCCUAUCAGCUUGUUGGUGGGGUGAUGGCCUACCAAGGCGACGACGGGUAGCCGGCCUGAGAGGGUGUCCGGCCACACUGGGACUGAGAUACGGCCCAGACUCCUACGGGAGGCAGCAGUGGGGAAUAUUGCACAAUGGGCGCAAGCCUGAUGCAGCGACGCCGCGU
rnacentral:rRNA from 1 species